UACGUAGGGUGCGAGCGUUGUCCGGAAUUACUGGGCGUAAAGAGCUCGUAGGUGGUUUGUCGCGUUGUUCGUGAAAACCGGGGGCUUAACUCUCGGCGUGCGGGCGAUACGGGCAGACUGGAGUACUGCAGGGGAGACUGGAAUUCCUGGUGUAGCGGUGGAAUGCGCAGAUAUCAGGAGGAACACCGGUGGCGAAGGCGGUUCUCUGGGACGGUACUGACGCUGAGACGCGAAAGCGUGGGGAGCGAACAGG
rnacentral:rRNA from 1 species